rnacentral:rRNA from 1 species
GAUGAACGCUGGCGGCGUGCCUAAUACAUGCAAGUCGAGCGAACGGACGAGAAGCUUUCUUCUCUGUUGUUAGCGUCGGACGGGUGAGUAACACGUGGAUAACCUACCUAUAAUACUGGGAUAACUUCGGGAAACCUGAGCUAACACCGCAUAAUAUUUUGAAUCGCAUUUUUAAAAAUUUAUAUCCGUUCUUGCUUUCUCUUAUCUAUGACUCCGCGCUGCAUUUGCUAGUUGGUAAUGUAACUGUUUAUCAAGGCAACGAUGCAGAGCAGACCUAGGAGAGUGAUCGGCCACACUGGAAGUGAGGCACGGGCCAGAGUCCGACGGGAGGCAGGAGAAGGAAAUCUUACGAAAGGGGCGAAAGCUUGACGGAGCAAAGGCGAGUGAGUGAUGAAGGUAUUGGGAUAAUAAAACCCUGUUAUUAGGGAAGACUAAGUGUGUAAGUAACUGUGAAUAAAUUGACGGUACCUAAAUAGAAAGCCACGGCUAAAUACGUG